rnacentral:rRNA from 1 species
UACGGGGGGGGCAAGCGUUGUUCGGAAUUACUGGGCUUAAAGGGCUCGCAGGCGGCUAACUAAGUCAGACGUGAAAUCCCUCGGCUUAACCGGAGAACUGCAUCUGAUACUGGAUGGCUUGAGUUCGGGAGAGGGAUGCAGAAUUCCAGGUGUAGCGGUGAAAUGCGUAGAUAUCUGGAGGAACACCGGUGGCGAAGGCAGCAUCCUGGGCCGACACUGACGCUGAGGAGCGAAAGCCAGGGGAGCAAACGGG